rnacentral:rRNA from 1 species
UAGGGAAUUUUGCGCAAUGGACGAAAGUCUGACGCAGCAACACCGUGUGAGGGAUGAAGCAUUUCGGUGUGUAAACCUCUGUCGAUGAUGAAUAAAGCAUGUGGGAGUGGAAAGCCCAUGUGUUGAAGGUAGUCAUGAAGGAAGCACCGGCUAACUCUGUGCCAGCAGCCGCGGUAAUACAGGGGGUGCAAGCGUUGUUCGGAAUCACUGGGCGUAAAGGGAGCGUAGGCGGAACUACAAGACAGAGGUUAAAGACCCGGGCUCAACCUGGAGACUGCCUUUGUGACUGUGGUUCUUGAGUAUGGUAGAGGUCAGCGGAAUUUCCGGUGUAGCGGUGGAAUGCGUAGAGAUCGGAAAGAACACCAGAGGCGAAGGCGGCUGACUGGACCAAUACUGACGCUGAGGCUCGAAAGCGUGGGGAGCAAACAGG